GGGAGGGGUGCGAGCGUUAAUCGGAAUUACUGGGCGUAAAGCGCGCGUAGGCGGCAAGGUCAGUCGGGAUGUGAAAGACCCCCGGGCUUAACCUGGGAAUUGCAUUCGAAACUGCCCUCGCUAGAGUAUGGGAGAGGGAAGCGGAAUUUCCGGUGUAGCGGUGAAAUGCGUAGAUAUCGGAAGGAACACCAGUGGCGAAGGCGACUUCCUGGCCCAAUACUGACGCUCAGGUGCGAAAGCGUGGGUAGCGAACAGGAUUAGAUACCCUGGUAGUCCACGCCGUAAACGAUGAGAACUAGAUGUCGGGAGGAUUUACCUUUCGGUGUCGCAGCUAACGCAUUAAGUUCUCCGCCUGGGGAGUACGCCGGCAACGGUA
rnacentral:rRNA from 1 species